AGACCACCGACUGGUUUUUAGCUUGAAUUUUAGCCUGGACAGCUCAAACCUUUCACUCGCUGUCAGCUGUUGAGAGAAAACAGCUUUAAUUAAUAAUGUUUAAGAUCGACCACUUUUAGUUCUUGAGGCAGUAUGGCAGAUUAUGCUUGAAAUCCUUUUUGUUAAAGGAAAUGUAAUGUGAAAUUAUUGUUUCUUGAAAGAAGUAAAGGAAGUAGGUAUGGGCAGAAGCAAGGAAUAAAGUCCUUUCACGUACUCUGUACUACACAACACUAUACACAUGCAAAUAGAAAGCUCCAAACACAGAAUGGAAAUUAAUACUAUUCCCCUAAUUCCAUUAUAGAUCCAUAUAUUGUUGAAUGAGCCAUCGCUCUGGAUAAAUUUUUAGGUUAUAAAGUUUUUACUGUGCUCAUCUCAUCACGUACUGUCUCAUCUUUUGUGCUACUGAGCAGAUUAGAACGAUAUUCUGGGACUUCCCUUUCCACUCCAGUUCUGUUAUUUGGGCCCGUCAAAAUGCCUACGAAAUGAUAAAAAUUGGACUUGAGAUUUGGACUAGGAAGGAAUGAUUACCUGCUGUACAGUGACUGAAGUUAGGAAGCUAUGGUCAGCUUUCCAGUAUGUAUGUCCUUCUGAAGGCAGUAUGUGUCUCCUUUGAGGACAGUCGAGCAGAAAUACCCAGCUUCCAACACCACAGAGUUAACACAGCCAAGACUUGUUGUACCAACUCAGAACUCAGACGGGUCAUUUCAAGGCAGAAAUUCAAGCACCUUGGAGCAAUCACUGGUUUUGAAGAGACUGCUUCUAUCAUUUAUGGUGGUACAAGAAAGGACAAGUUUAAGAAGGACAAUCCCCUUCAAGCUGUUCUUUAGCCAUAUAAAUUGAACUCACGAAGAUUUAUCUGUGUAAUCCCUGCCUCCACUUUGCUUGCCUGCCUCAUUGGGAUGCAGGGUGCCUGGUUUCUCAGUGUUCAUCACAGCACAGCUCCCACUGCCUACAGUUUGCAGUGGCAAGUGCUCAACACUUCUACAAAUUACACUCCUCCAUACCAAGCACCUCCAGAAACACAGUUAACAACCACAUGUGCAAAGUGACUCUUAUCACACAGGAAAUCUGUGGCAAAGGCAGGGAUACGAUUCAGUUCCCCAGGGCUGCACUCAUGCCUUAAUCGUGAAAACAUUGUUUCCUUCUCUACAGUUGUCUGCUUCACUCACUGUGUCCUUAAAACGGCUGCAACAAAGUACAGAUUGCACAGAGGUUUUACUGUGCAGUGAUUCAUCCUCCAGCGCAGGUCCUUUCUGUGCGCUAAAUAACACAGAGGAGCCACGGAAAACUCUCUCUGCCCAAAGGAAUUACAUGCAGUUCCCUCUGCCUCACCACUCACAUAAUCCACCAGAGUCCUUGUACUUUUGUCUGCCUCUUCUACCACCAAGAGAGUUGGGUGCAUGGGAGUGAUGGGAUUCCUGAUCCAAUUCCUGUGCUUAAUCAGGCCCGACUGCAGCAGCAGCGAGCGGCAGGAUCAGGGGAAAAUGUUUUGAACGCCAGUAGCCCCAGGGCUGGAGUGUGCCCAGAUGUUUUAUGGAAUGGCUCUGGCAGACCAGUCACACACAGGUGUUUAUUGGCUUGAAGUAAAAGUCAGGAAUACCAAGAAUAAUUCAUCCGCCACUUGGCUCUUCAAACAGAACAGGAACGAGCACAACGUGCAAAUCUAAAUGGCAGAUAACAGCAGCUCUUAGCUAACACACACACUUUACCCACGGAGCUGCUUGCCUGAUGAACUUUUUAUUUUCCUGGAAUGAACUCAUUUGAGUUAUGAAAACUGAUUAUGCAUAUUGUUACAGGCAUGCAGCCAAGCAACCGUACAACUUGCUUUUUCAUUAAUAUCUGUCAUUUUUAGGAACAAAACAUGCUGCUGCUAACUGCAAGUAUAAAUCUACUUCUUAGAAAUAUGAUUUGCAGUUUACUUUCUCUUUACAUUUAAAAGCUAUUUAAAAGCAAAAUAAAUCUAGCUGGAUCAAAAGUAGCAUUGUGUGCUUAGAUUAAAUAUACUAAUUUUCACACUAAAAUUACUUUACGGAGCAAAGACUUGCUAUAUGUGGCAAAUCAAAGGAGAAAUGUAAGAAACUAUUCCAAAGAGGUUUGUUACUCUGCAUGGCAAAAGCUGUGCACAGCCUCUCCGUGACCUGACUUCGCACAAUUUAUUGGUCAUCUUUAAUAAAGCGAAAUCCAAGCACCUUUUCUGUUUCGUUACUUCCAUUUUAGCACUUGCAGUAGCAGACAGACAGACAAAGUUUAGUUUUAGCCUGGGAGCUAAAAGAAAUACUUCUAACAUACAUAUGUACUGUUACAGUCUGACUUAUAAAUGCUCAGUAGUAAAGUCAGCAGGAAUUGAGCACUAAAACUGGAGAAGAGUAAAUGGAAAGAGAUCCUGCUGUAUUUGCAGACUCAAAUAAUAAGGAGAGCGCUCCCGACUGCUCUUGGAAACUUGUCAUGUAAGUGAGUAAGGGGAGAGGUCAGACAGUGACAGACUGCUCUUCCAGCCUGAAAUGGGGGGUUGCACCAAAUCUAAAAAACCAAAACCAGUUUGAAACAUGCAUUUAACUAAAAAUUAAUGUUAUUAAAGCAAAUUAUACCCAUCAUUUAGAAAUGUAGUCUGAAAGUACCGUAACUCCUGGCUUCUCUUCAGAUGAUGUCUGGCAGCAUGCUAUGUAUUAUCCACAAAGUAUCUUCCAGAAUCCCCAGCACCCUGGCUUCAGGAGACACUCUGAAUCUCACUAAAUUCUGAUGAUUCUGAUGUCAUUUUCUAAGCUUAAAAUAUUCUUGCAAGUGACAUCAAUCAUGACUCAACCGGGCCUUUCCUGCCACAUAUGACAAAGGCUCCUAUUUUUAAACUUCCAGACAAACACAACCUGUAUAAUUUUUUUUUUUUUGCCAAAAAUAUGUCAGUUCCAAUCUCACUAUUCUGAGCAUAUUCUGUUCUUUUGGGAUACUUGUCAGCUGGCCUAUUUGUAUCAGGUUUAUAAGAAAUUAAAUGUUUUUCAAGAAGCAAAAUAACAGACUUGGAGAACAGAGCUUCCACCUUGCAUUAUUCAUAGAAUUUGUGAAAAUCUGUGGUUCUGUUGUCAAGAAGCACAGAGACUAAUUGCACAGAGCCAACAAUUCACUCAGUGUGGUGGUUAAAAUGGAUAAAAAUGAUUAGUAUUAGUCCUUGCAGUCUCUUGGAAAUGUCAAAUACUGUCUUGACAUUCUAAAACCCAGGCUGUACAGCAAAAGUGGGAGAGUACCAUUUCGUAUUAAUUUAAAAAUAUGUAAAACUGAUUGUCCCCUUCUAGCACUCAGUAUUUGCUUCCUGGAGACCCGAGAUGCUGAUUGUA